UGGUAGUAGCCAAGCGAUGGGGUGACGCAGGAAGGUAGUGGGGCCGGUCAGUGGUUGUACCGGUGUAAGCCUGUAGGGCGUGACAUAGGCAAAUCCGUGUCGCACGAGCCUGAGAGGUGAUGCGUAGCCGAAUGAGGCGAAUUCCAUGAUCCUAUGCUGCCGAGAAAAGCCUCUAGCGAGCUUUCACACGGCCCGUACCCCAAACCGACACAGGUGGUCAGGUAGAGAAUACCGAGGCGAUCGAGAGAACUGUGGUUAAGGAACUCGGCAAAAUGCCCCCGUAACUUCGGGAGAAGGGGGACCGGCCCUGGUGAAGACCUUCGCGGUCGGAGCUGGGGGUGGUCGCAGAGACCAGAGAGAAGCGACUGUUUACUAAAAACACAGGUCCGUGCGAAGUCGUAAGACGAGGUAUACGGACUGACGCCUGCCCGGUGCUGGAAGGUUAAGAGGACCGGUCAGCGGAGCGAUCCGCGAAGCUGAGAAUUUAAGCCCCAGUAAACGGCGGUGGUAACUAUAACCAUCCUAAGGUAGCGAAAUUCCUUGUCGGGUAAGUUCCGACCUGCACGAAUGGCGUAACGACUUCUCUGCUGUCUCAACCACAGACUCGGCGAAAUUGCAUUACGAGUAAAGAUGCUCGUUACGCGCGGCAGGACGAAAAGACCCCGGGACCUUCACUACAGCUUGGUAUUGGUGUUCGGUUCGGUUUGUGUAGGAUAGGUGGGAGACUGUGAAGCGGUGACGCCAGUUACCGUGGAGUCGUUGUUGAAAUACCACUCUGAUCGUAUUGGACCUCUAACCUCGGACCCUGAUCGGGUUCAGGGACAGUGCCUGGUGGGUAGUUUAACUGGGGCGGUUGCCUCCCAAAAUGUAACGGAGGCGCCCAAAGGUUCCCUCAGCCUGGUUGGCAAUCAGGUGUCGAGUGCAAGUGCACAAGGGAGCUUGACUGUGAGACCGACAGGUCGAGCAGGGACGAAAGUCGGGACUAGUGAUCCGGCACCGGCAUGUGGAAGCGGUGUCGCUCAACGGAUAAAAGGUACCCCGGGGAUAACAGGCUGAUCUUCCCCAAGAGUCCAUAUCGACGGGAUGGUUUGGCACCUCGAUGUCGGCUCGUCGCAUCCUGGGGCUGGAGUAGGUCCCAAGGGUUGGGCUGUUCGCCCAUUAAAGCGGCACGCGAGCUGGGUUUAGAACGUCGUGAGACAGUUCGGUCUCUAUCCGCCGCGCGCGUUAGAAACUUGAGGAAGGCUGUCCCUAGUACGAGAGGACCGGGACGGACGAACCUCUGGUGUGCCAGUUGUCCCGCCAGGGGCACGGCUGGUUGGCUACGUUCGGAAGGGAUAACCGCUGAAAGCAUCUAAGCGGGAAGCCUGUUCCAAGAUGAGGUUUCUCACCCCCUCGAGGGGGUAAGGCCCCCGGCAGACCACCGGGUUGAUAGGCCGGAACUGGAAGUGCGGCAACGCAUGCAGGUGACCGGUACUAAUAGGCCGAGGACUUACCAC
rnacentral:rRNA from 1 species